ensembl:lncRNA
ACACACACACACACGCACAAAGAGGUCGGAGAGCUGGCUCGUGAAUGGGAGAUGACGGAGCGCUGCAGGACGCGCUCAGAACAGGACUGAUACUCGCAUCCAUCAUACACACAGGGAGACCGGCGGCGGCCGGGUAAAUUCCAGCCAUUCCGCCGCCUGUUUGGGAGGAAGAGGAGGAGGGAGACAGAGCGAGGGUUUGAGGAAACCGAACUUAAACCCAGCCACUCCACCGAUGAAGUGUGCAAUGGAGUGGUCUCAGGCCCAGAAGAGUCCAGUCAGCAUCUAAGAGAGCUAAAUCCCCUGGGGUCUCGAGCUUUUUCACACGAGAGCAUCUUCAUCCCUGAGGAUUCUGUAGAGAAGCCGUGCUCAGAACUGACCAUGUCUCAAGAGAACGUCU